rnacentral:misc_RNA from 1 species
UUUCCGUAGGUGAACCUGCGGAAGGAUCAUUCAUAAUAAAGUGUUUUAUGGCACUUUUUCAAAAUCCAUAUCCACCUUGUGUGCAAUGUUAGAUCUCGUCAAUCUUGGCGAGAUUUUUAUACAUCAACUCAUUCUUUAACUAAUUUGUCUGAAAAAUAUUAUGAAUACUUAAUUCAAAAUACAACUUUCAACAACGGAUCUCUUGGCUCUC